UACGGAGGAUCCGAGCGUUAUCCGGAUUUAUUGGGUUUAAAGGGUGCGUAGGUGGAUUGGUAAGUCAGUGGUGAAAGUUUGCAGCUUAACUGUAAAAUUGCCGUUGAAACUGCCGGUCUUGAGUGCAAAUGAGGUAGGCGGAAUGCGUCGUGUAGCGGUGAAAUGCUUAGAUAUGACGCAGAACUCCGAUUGCGAAGGCAGCUUACUGGGAUGCAACUGACACUGAGGCGCGAAAGCGUGGGGAGCAAACAGGAUUAGAUA
rnacentral:rRNA from 1 species